AGAUCGGCCCUCGUCGUUCGACGGUCCAUCACGUUUAGUUCGUCUUAAUAUUGACAUUUGCUUGAACAAUCUGUGAUACUUUUUUUUCUUUUUAAAUAUAAUACGUAUUGAAAUUUAAUCAAACAUUUUUUAAUAAUUUAGAAAUUAUGAAGAUUGGAAUUUCGUGAGAAUUUCUGAUUGGAAAACAAAAUGGGAUUAAAUCUGGAUAUCUUUUAUAAUCCUUUGACUAAUAUGGCACCUAUAAAUACAUAUUGAAAAGAUUAAAGAUGGAGAUUUAUGCUUUGCAUACAGUAAUUAUUACUAUAUUAGGUUUUAUUUAUUUUUUAUUUGCAAACAAGUUUCAAAGAGUUUCUUAAAGAUUAAAGAAGAUUAAUUAUCUCAAAUUGUUUAAAAUAAAUAAAAAAAAUUGUGCACUAUUACUCAACGAAAUUUUAUUUUCAUGAGAAAAUGGAGUAAUAAUUUCAAGCAAAUAGGAAAUGCAUGCUCAGAUAAUUGAUGAUAGUUAAUAUCCUAGAAAUAGACUCCUAGAAAUAUAUCCCACCAUUUCGACAAUGCACAUGUGCACGUUCAAAGGAUCAACUCGAUUGUUGACGACGAAUUCGUUAUCCAUCUAAAUCAGCUGGAGGAAGAGGGAAUCAAAGCGCCAGGAAGGGAGAAUCAUCGAGACAGGAAAGAAGGGAAAUAUAGGCAUUGAGAAGAGUUCAAGCGAGAGAAAACAACGAGCAGUCGACCAAUCAUGCGACAUUGAAUGAACUCGUCUCUGACUCCAACAUGUCUUAUUUCGUUCCAUUACCACAACUAUCCCAUCAUAUUACCCUUUUUUUUCUCUUUCUUCCUCUAACUAACUUAUCUGUUUUAGAGAGAUUUUGAAUAUCUACCAUGAUGUCAAUGAUUUGUGUCAUAACAGUUAGCAUUUAAUUGUAGUUAUUAUAAGAUUUUAAAGUAUGAUAAUGAUUUAUCUUGAUACAACAUUGCUUGUGAAAUGCUUAGUAUAUUUUUUUUUACUUGAUAUUCGCGCGCAUUUAAUUUUUGAUAAAUUAAGAUAAUAAAUAUAUGGUUAUUGUCUUUUAAGAAUUUAAAAGAAAUCUUAAAGAAUUUAGAUUUUUUCAAAUCUAAAAUUCCGUUUUAUAAAAUAUAAUUUAUUUUGUACACAUAUUAAAAUUAAUUUUUCCAUUUUUUGAAUUUAAAAGCAAAUAUUAUUAAUUCUUUCGAAUUGUGAAAAAAGAAAAGUAUUUGACUUUGAUCAUCGAGAUUAUAGGACUUCGAUAAAGGGAUAUCAACCGGCAGAUUACGCAAAAAAAAAAGUCGAGAUGUGGAAAUAAAAAGCGUUGGAACGGUUGGCAUCUGUUUCACGCGCAUGCUAGCCUCGCUCGUGACGUCAGAGGGUGAAAAAUCAAUCCACCCUUGUACAGUGCGGCAAGAUAGGAUUGUAUAUCUGGCGGCCACAGUCGCCAUCAUUAAAUUAACCGAAUUAAUUGUACUCGUCUAAUCGAUCGCCCUUGGGCCAAUUUUCAGUUUUAGAAUUCUAACGAUCGAUGAUGUUUCGGAGAUUUUUCUUGGAUUUCUUAAAAUGGAUUUUUAAAAGGAAGAUGCAGAAAUGAUUACAUAUUGAAAUAUUUGACAGUAUAAAGAAUUUGUUGAAUGUCGCAAAGAGAUGAUAGAGAAUUUUAAUCUAGUAAGGAUGACUGCUUAAACUAGAAAAGGAAAAAGAAGAAAUGGAUAACUUAAUUGUUACUCGAUGCAACAAGAUUUGGCAAAAAGAUUUCCAAGUACGAAGGAUUGAAAUAGUAUUUUUGCUUAUAUUUAUAAAUUCAUUUUAUGAAAGUUCUGCAAUGAAAUUGGCAAAGAGUCUGGAAACUAUGGUUACAUAAUAGUUAUGAAUGAAUUUCAAUGUAAUUGCAAUAUUGAAGUUAUUUUGAAAGGGAAAUAACAUUAAAACUUGAAGAACCCAAAUUGCUUUUGAAACUAUACUAUGCUUUGAAGAUUGUAAUAUUUGAAUAUAUAGACUAUAUAUUUUAUAGACUAUAAUCAAAUUUCCAUUUUUUGAAAAUUUAUUUUGAAAUUUGAUUUGCAUCAAGAAAUUGCUUGCAAUAUUAUAAAAUUGAAAUUAAAAUUGAAAUGACUGUGACUGCAUAGCUCGUUAAGACAUACACCAUGUAAUUGGAAUAAUGCUUAUAUAAUUCAUUACGUCGAAAACUUAAGAAAAAUUUCAAUGCAUAAAUUUCAAAUUGCGUGAUAUAGAAGAAAACGGGCGAAGGAAAAUAUAUUCCAGUGAAUUUUAUUAAUCUCUGAAUGCUUUAUUCCAUUUCAAUCGCAAUGCAAUUUUGCGUAGUAAUUGAAUUGAAACGCUGACGUCGAAUGUUACAAUGACUUCGAGAUGUUGCGCCUUCUUGCAUCUUCUUAUGCAUUUUAUAUUUUCUUUUUGUUAGAAGAAUAAAUCUAAUAGAAUUUUGAUGAUAUUUUCAAUAUUAGUGAAAUGCUUACCUGUUAUCCACGUAUACGACACGUUUUCACCGUCGAUCCCGUCGAAAAAAAUGCAAUUUAUUCUGCGUUCCUCGCGAACGACGCUGCACUUUCGCAUGAUAAUUGAUAACAACAGUUUUUCCUUUGUGCCGACUUAUAGCUGUCGUGGAUCUUAUGUCUGACGCGAUUCACGACUACGAGCAAACAAUCCGCAAGAUUACAGCCGAAAGGGAUUUCUACAUUGCUGUUGUGCCUCAACUUGGGCUACCAUUAGCUCAUCAAGUCCGUUAAACGAACACGAAAGAAGACAGACACUGAGGUGGACUUAAGUGUUUGAAGUUGAUUGUUAAGUAACAGUUUAAAUUGUGUAUAGGACUGAUAAACGCAACAACUUAGAACACGUUGCAAUGCGUUAUAUCUAACUGGUCAUUGUGUUAAGAUCGAAUAUGCAUUUAUUAUUUUAUUUAAUUGAUAUUUUAAGUUGGUAUUUAUUUAUUAAUUAUUUGUUUAUUUAAUCAAUUACAAAGUAAAUAUUUUUAGGAAUAUAAGAUGUGAUAAUUGAAAAUGAACUUCGAAUUGCGAUGAAAAAAGUCAAGCGAGAUUUCACAAUUUUUUUAAGAAAAAAAUUGCCUUUUUAAAAGAUAGAGUCAUAAAUAAAUUGAUAAUAAUUAUGAAUGAA